GAAUAUUGCGCAAUGGACGAAAGUCUGACGCAGCGACGCCGCGUGUGGGAGGAAGCUCUUCGGGGUGUAAACCACUGUCAGGAGGGAAGAAACUCGCAGGACCGAACAGGCCCGGCGAUUGACGGUACCUCCAAAGGAAGCGCCGGCUAACUCCGUCCCAGCAGCCGCGGUAAGACGGAGGGCGCAAGCGUUGUUCGGAAUUACUGGGCGUAAAGAGCGGGCAGGCGGUCUGUUAAGUCGUUUGUGAAAAUCCGGGGCUCAACCCCGGAAAUGCGUACGAUACUGGCAGGCUGGAGACUGGUAGAGGCUAGCGGAAUUCCUGGUGUAGCGGUGGAAUGCGUAGAUAUCAGGAAGAACACCUGUGGCGAAGGCGGCUAGCUGGGCCAGUUCUGACGCUCAUCCGCGAAAGCGUGGGGAGCAAACAGG
rnacentral:rRNA from 1 species